GUGCUCACUUUGGCAGCACCGAUACUAAAAUUGGAAUGAUGCAGCGAAAAUUAGCCUGGUCCCUGCGCAAAGAUAAUAAUAAUAAUAAUAAUGGAUGGGAUUUAUAU